ACGAACGCUGGCGGCGUGCUUAACACAUGCAAGUCGAACGGUGAAGCCCUUCGGGGUGGAUCAGUGGCGAACGGGUGAGUAACACGUGAGCAACCUGCCCCUGGCUCUGGGACAACCACUGGAAACGGUGGCUAAUACCGGAUACGACCCGCCUCGGCAUCGAGUGUGGGUGGAAAGUUUUUCGGCUGGGGAUGGGCUCGCGGCCUAUCAGCUUGUUGGUGAGGUGAAGGCUCACCAAGGCGACGACGGGUAGCCGGCCUGAGAGGGCGACCGGCCACACUGGGACUGAGACACGGCCCAGACUCCUACGGGAGGCAGCAGUAGGGAAUAUUGCACAAUGGGCGAAAGCCUGAUGCAGCGACGCCGCGUGAGGGAUGACGGCCUUCGGGUUGUAAACCUCUUUCAGCUCCGAAGAAGCGAAAGUGACGGUAGGAGCAGAAGAAGCACCGGCUAACUACGUG
rnacentral:rRNA from 1 species